rnacentral:rRNA from 1 species
CACGUAGGGUGCGAGCGUUGUCCGGAUUUAUUGGGCGUAAAGAGCUCGUAGGCGGUGUGUCGCGUCGGCCGUGAAAACUUGCAGCUUAACUGUGGGCGUGCGGUCGAUACGGGCAUCACUGGAGUUCGGCAGGGGAGACUGGAAUUCCUGGUGUAGCGGUGAAAUGCGCAGAUAUCAGGAGGAACACCGGUGGCGAAGGCGGGUCUCUGGGCCGAGACUGACGCUGAGGAGCGAAAGCGUGGGGAGCGAACAGG